GCUCUUUGCAUCAGCUGCAGAGCUCAAUGGCACACUUGUUGACAGCAUUGGCACUGAAAAUGGCGAACUUUGGGCAAGGUUGUUGUUAUUAGGAACAACAGGAAACAAGGGCUGAGACACGGGAACAGGUGAGUUAGAUGCAGGGAGGCCUGGAGGACUGACAAGUGUUGGUGGUGCAAUAGCUGGCAUUGGAGGCCUCACAUUUUGCACAGGAAAUAAUGGUUGUUGCGGCAGACCCAUUGGUGCAGGAGGUGGAACCGAGACAGCAGGAUAUUGUGGAUACCAAGGUUGGGGCCGAGGGGGGACUGGCCAACCAGCAGGAGGCAUUGGCACAGCAGGAUUAUAGCUGCACAAACAGGCCAGAUCCAUGUAAGAUUUAUUUACCUAUUGGAGCUGCUGAUUCAAAGUUAAUAAAUCCAAAGCAUGCCAAUAAACAACAGAAUGUAGAAGAAAAGGUUAACAAAAAGAUAAAAAUGUCAAGGCUAAAAUUUCCCCUAUUAUCUUUUUUAUUUUGUGGCGACAGUCUCCUCGACUAGUCCACCGAGUAGCCAGUUAGAGCUCACAAGCAUAAGUGCUGCCGUGCCAGUUCAUAUCAGUGUUGUAGUUGGGAUUCAAACAUGGAAUUUCAAGAUUGUUACUGCUAUCCCUCAACUACUCAGCCAUCCCUUGGAGACAUAAUUCUGUUUUAUCAAUAUGCGAGAAGGCUAACUAUAACAAGGAAGAAAUGGGUCAACUUUAAUACUGAAACCCAUGCUGCUGGACACCUGAAAAACUAGCGCUAGAAUUCUUUACAGACCAAUUGUUGACAAAAUUUAGGUAUGCCACACCAUCAGUCAUAACUAUAACAAAGUCAGAGCUGGGAUAUACUAUAUUAAAGGGCUAGAUUCCUAAUCUCAUAUAUUCAUUAUUCUGCUCGUUUGACCAAGUAAUACUGAUCCUAACAUAGGAAUCUUUCAGAAGAAAUCAAGAAAUAUUAGGUAAUCCUAGAAUAGAAAUACAAAGCAAGACCCCCCCCCCCCCCGGAUCCUUGUAGUCCUCAAAAAGACCAGAAUCAACUAUAUAGGAACUAAAGUUUAGUACAAGAGACUUCUGCUAAAUCACUGUCCCGGAUGGGCUCCAUAUUGGAAUAUUCUUAAGUCUAUCUUCUUAAAAAGAAAUAGUUGGUGACUUGGUUCUCUUAUUUUGUAUUGAUGGCUGUGUUACUAGUCAAAAUUGUAAAAGUUUUCCUUUUUCAAGAUGUAUGAAUUUUUCUUUGCAUUUAUUCCGUCUUACACACAAACUUAUUCAAGGAAUAUACUCCUUGAUACUGAUAAACGGACACGAAUGACAGAUUCCAUCUUAAACAAAACUUAUUCAAGGAGAACAUAUGCUUUGAUAGAAAAAAUAAAAAUGAAUUGACUCCAGACUUCAAGAACAAAUGAAGAGAUCAUGUCUCGCAACUUAUGGGGUUAUAUUUUCUCACAAAUCCCAAAUAUCGGAAGUGUUUUCUUUGUGAAAAGUAAACUCGUGCAACAUCAUAUGAAAAGGAAAGUAUCCUAAUGUAUUCAAGCACAAGGAAUUCUGAACGCAUAAAAAAAGCAUUUCCACAACUAACAUACAGUGGUGGCAUUGCACCAAAAGGUGCCCGGGGAGGGUAUCCUGGAAUUGCACCACCAACAUACUGGGAUGACGGAAUGUCCACUUUGGCAGUUUUUGCUGGGGCCU
rnacentral:lncRNA from 1 species